rnacentral:lncRNA from 1 species
AUAGUGUGGCUUACUCCUAAUAAAGGGAAUACCAAAUUAGUAUGCCAGCUCUGAUUACAGCUCAGUUUAUUAUGAAGGUCUCAAAAAUAUUUAUUCAAUCAAUGGAAUCUCUUUUAAAGACAAUGAAGCGUUUUUUGCUUCUGAAGCUGAAGAAAUCGUGAAGUUAUGUUGUAACAAAUAUUUUCAGUUUAAUUUGGGCCCACUGUGCUUAAUGGCAACCUUCCUGUCAAAAAAGCUGACAUUUUCAGCCAUCUUGCUAAAAAAGUCUUUGCUGCCUUCAUCUUGUUGAGAAAAUGCCCCAAAGUGCUUGAGAGACCUUUUCGGCUGCAUCAUGUGUGACGCCGCCGGUUCUUGUACCUCCUGGGCAUUGUCAACACCAUAAUUGUCAGCCUCGAGGCCCUCCUCAAUCAUUAAAUUAUGAUGUCAACCCUGCAGCUUUUCUCAUCGUCAUC